AACGAACGCUGGCGGCGUGGAUAAGACAUGCAAGUCGGACGAGAUUUUCCGUUGUAGCAAUACGAUGGAAAGUCUAGUGGCGAACGGGUGCUUAACACGUGGGUAACCUGCCGAGAAGUGGGGGAUAGCCCGCCGAAAGGCGAAUUAAUACCGCAUGUGAUCAGGAGAGACAUCUCUUCGAAAUUAAAGUCGGGGCAACCUGACGCUUCUUGUGGGGCCCGCGGCCUAUCAGCUAGUUGGUGAGGUAACGGCUCACCAAGGCUUUGACGGGUAGCUGGUCUGAGAGGACGACCGGCCACACUGGGACUGAGACACGGCCCAGACACCUACGGGUGGCAGCAGUCGAGAAUUUUUGACAAUGGGGGAAACCCUGAUCGAGCGACGCCGCGUGGAGGAUGAAGGUCUUCGGAUUGUAAACUCCUGUCAUUGGGGAACAAUGCGUGACGGUUAACUGCCGUCGCGUUGAUAGUACCCGAAGAGGAAGAGACGGCUAACUCUGUGCCAGCCGCCGCAGUAACAC
rnacentral:rRNA from 1 species